rnacentral:rRNA from 1 species
CCUACGGGUGGCAGCAGUGGGGGAUAUUGGACAAUGGGGGAAACCCUGAUCCAGCGACGCCGCGUGAGUGAAGAAGUAUUUCGGUAUGUAAAGCUCUGUCAGCAGGGAAGAAAGAAAUGACGGUACCUGACUAAGAAGCUCCGGCUAACUACGUGCCAGCAGCCGCGGUAAUACGUAGGGGGCAAGCGUUCUCCGGAAUUACUGGGUGUAAAGGGAGGGUAGACGGUGAUGCAAAUCUGGAGGGAAAGGAGGGGGGCCAACCCCCAUAAUGCUCUGGAUACUGUGGAACUUGAGUGCAGGAGAGGUAAGCGGAAUAACUAGUGUAGCGGUGAAAUGCGUAGAUAUUAGGAGGAACACCAGUGGCGAAGGCGGCUUACUGGACUGUGACUGACGUUGAGGCUCGAGAGCGUGGGGAGCGAACAGGAUUAGAUACCCGAGUAGUC